rnacentral:rRNA from 1 species
AUGAGUAACACAAUCAUCUCCAUCAUGAACUGGAACGUACGGGGCCUGAAUUCGCCGACCAAGAGAGCAACCAUUUGCGAGACAGCCAACGCCCACAGCCUCGCUCUCCUUUGUCUUCAAGAGACCAAGAUAGAUGCAUGGACACAAGGCAUCGUCAGAGAGAUCGGCGGUGGCCGCCUGGACAACUGCGUCGUGCUCCCGGCCGUGGGUACGCUCGGCGGGGCAGCGAUCUUCUGGGACUCCUCCAAGGUCGCCGUGGCUACGCAUUCUGUGGGGCAGUUCUCCAUCACCGCCAGUGUCCACCAACUGCACACCAACACUUCCUUCUGGUUAACAACAGUGUACGGCCCUGCCGAUGAAGCCAGGAAAGAUGAGUUCCUUGAUGAGAUGGUCAGAAUCAGGCCGCCCCAGGGUGAACCAUGGCUGAUCAACGGAGACUUCAACAUCAUCUAUGAGGCAAGAGGCAAAAGCAAACGCAACCUAAACAAAAUAAUUAUGGGAAGAUUCAGAGACGCCAUUGACAGGGCAAGCGUGAGAGAAAUCAAAUGCAAAAACACACGCUUCACCUAG